UUUUUUUUUUUUUUUUUUUUUUUUUUGAGUCGGAGUCUCCUGUGUCACCCAGGCCAGAGUGCAGUAUUACAAUCAUGGCUUAUCGCGGCCUUGACCUUCUGGCUCAAGCAAUCCUCCCGCCUCAGCCUUCCAAGUAGCUGGGACCCACAGGCGAGUUUGAUUUCUUUGCUAACGAAUUCCUAAUUCACCUUGCAGCGGGCCUGUCAGGGCCAUAUGCCCGGACAUCCACCUUGCCGACCGGCCCUGUGGUCUCUAAGGUGGAUGCACUCCGGUUGCCCGGGCUCUGCACGCGAUGCUGAGUCUCCAAGUCUGCCGCUGUAUAAGGGACUGACAGCCCUGAGCGUCUCGACGUGCCACCGUGAGCUGGGCUUUAUUCCACAGGGCGACUCUGCUUCCCGUGAUGAGAUGCAGCAUGUGAGCACAGAUCAAAGGGUAUCAGCAACUAACCCAUUCCCCAGGUGCUAAGCAGAGGACCAAGAGUUUAGUUCCUUACUUACUUGCUCCGAGCUUGAUUCAAAACAGCUUUCUGGGAUCCUGGGGACAAACAUCUCUAACUGGUGAGAAUUCUGGCUUUAGUAACGGAAGAAUCACCUAAAGCCCAUUUUGUAACUGCUGUUCUCAUCAGAACUUGAGGUCGAAGGGUAAAAUAAAAGGGGGGCCAAGAUCUUGACACCCCAGUUUGCACAAGGCUAACCAGCGUGCUUGAGGGGGUGAAAGGAGUAGGAUUUUUAAAGUGCUGAGUUUUAAAAACAUGGCUGUAGGCUGGGUGCACUGCCUCAUAUAUAUAAGCCCAGCACUUUGGGAGGCCGAGGUGGGAGGAUUGCUUGAGGCCACGAGUUCAAGACUAGCUUGAGUAACACAGCAACACUCUAUCUCUUUCAAAAGAAAAAAAAGUUAUUAAAAUAGUAAUAAAAAGGUUAAUACAAUAAAUUACUGUAUCAACAUGGCACCCCCUGCUUUCAGACGAGGUGCACUCUCUGUGGCUACGAUGAGGUCCGGAGAGAAAUGUAACUGGCAUCAUAGGGAAGGUGGACCCCAAAGCUCCACGGCACUACUCCUAUACAGUCUGUUAACCAGCAUGAAGUCUCCUCCAUAAUCAGAAGCCCCACCCUGGGACCCUGCCGGCAGCCCCAACUGGACAGAAUGGCCUCGUGAAUGUCCCUUCCUGCCACAAGCUGCAGACCCUGAGCCAGUCCUGGCUGUGACUGAGGCUGCGCAUAAACGUCUGCGCCCAACAGCUCACCUUUGUACAUGACAUGUCCAGUCCACCUCAUUUCAAAUGUUACACUUGCCCCAAGGUGAACAUGGAUGUUACAGGUUAACUCACUGCAUGUGUGCUAGACUUUCCCUAUAAGUGUUCAGACAUUGCACGAACCAGAUGAACAAACCCCACUUUCCCUGUAAACAUUCCGACAUUCCAUGAGCCCGAUGAACACACACAGCCAACAAACCCCGAACGCAGUAACGCCGCUGGCCUCCUCCCCUCCUGAGGGGCACGUGCUUACAGCUCCCCCGAGACCACAUUUCCCAAAGCACAGAGUGUUACUCGGAAAAGAAAACCUCCUUUUUCCUUCCUCUGUACAUCUCGUGGUCAUGUUAACAACUAUUGCUACAAAUGCAGAGAAACGAGGUAUCAUCUGUGCCGGUCACCGAAUUCCUAGCACCAAAGCUUCAGGGUUCAGGUGAAGCUUCUAUCACCCUAAAGCCAACUCUGGAGAUGAAGGCCGAACUGGGGAAAGGCUGUGUCACCGCAAAUCCACACCACGGGGCCCUCUGCAGUUGUGUGUAAGGAACUCUUGGCCUGUCCUGGGGUUUGGGGAGAUCAGGAUGCAAGCAGAUACUGUACGCUCUGCCACGGGACCGUGAAGUCUGCGAAACCUCAGAGGAACACAGAGACAAAUGGCUGCACGAGUCCCACAGGCCGAGUCUCGAUGGGCACCAGUGUCAAGAACAUAGACACGCCAGGAGGGGCAGCUGAUGCAGGCAACGCCUGCAACCCCAGCACGCGGCAGCACACGAGAGGGGGGUCUCUGGCCAGGCUCCACCACAACUGCCAUAUUCUGUAGCAAAAUUUUAAUCAUAGGUUGUAAGUAGUUAUAACUCUAACUUGUUUUACAGAUAAACAGAACACAGGGUACCAACAGACUCCAAAGUACUUCGCCUAGAACCAAGUCUAGAAUGCAGAUGGCUGCUGCUCCGAGUGUGAUGAGUCCCCUGUAGUGCCAUAAAUCCUAGAUCUAGGUGACUAAGUGCUCUGCCUAAACCAGAUGGCACCCUGAGGCUCUGAGGGCACCCUCUCUCCCCAGGCCAGUCCAUCAGCCCCGGCAGAAGCUUCUAGAGUAAGAAAUUGUGGAUUUGUAUUGGACAGAUGUAAACCAGGCCAAGUCACAGGGACUCAUCCUGGAAGCCCAUCCGUUUACCCACUCAUGCCCUGGAGAGCCCUGCCCCCGGCUCCACAUCCGCAGUCACGCUGAACCACAAGAACUGGCUUCUAGGCCCUCAAGCCACUCCCUCUCGCCCCCGGACAGACCCUUCUAAAACCGUGAGGCCCAGAGUAGACUUAACAGGUGGUCCCAGCAGAACUGGCCUCUGCAUGUAUUGAUACUUUGUGUGUGUGUGUGGGGGGGGUGGUGGUUCUUGUUCUGUCACUCAGGCACAGUGCACCAUAAGUACAGUGGUGCUAUCAGGGUUCACUGCAGCCUCAACCUGCCAGGCUUGGGUGAUCCUCCAGCCUCAGCUUCCCGAGUAGCUGGGACC
ensembl:lncRNA